rfam:Candidatus Methanoperedens sp. DS-2015 MPEBLZ_contig000129, whole genome shotgun sequence.
GUCAAUCACCCCGACUAGAAGUGGGGGGCAUGUCCCGUGAGGGAUAUGGGCAACUGAUUGUAGGAGUCAAAAAAUGAAAAAGUUAUCUAAAAGAAAUACAUACACACCAAUCAAUGCUUCACAAGUUGGUUGCAACUGUGAUCUAUUAUUAAACAGAGUGGACACACUCAGUGUAAUAGAUUCAAAAACUUUAGAUAACCGCUCCGAAGUGAACCAAUC